rnacentral:lncRNA from 1 species
CGAAAACACUGAUAAAGAACUUCAACUCUGAGGAACAUUGAAGCUCGAACAGUAUAAAAAUACACAAAUAUAUUUUUUCUAACAAUGAGUUAUAAACUGAGACCCGUAAAAUUGUGAGAACUGGAGCAACCACCCUCUGAUAGCAACUGUGCACAUCAAUAGAGGGAUGCGUAAGAAAUUUUCAAUAAUACACCACGCUGUUUUGUUUCCAGUGAUACAUGCCUGUUGUAUGGGAUGCGUACAACACUGAUAAAAGGGGAUGCACGAUUUAAAAAGUUCGAACAUUUUGCGUUCUUUUUUUUCGGAAUUUUUGUGUGGACGGAACAAACGAACAGAAAAAAAAGAAUGGUUAAUUAAAGAGCUGCAAAUUUGUUGUAAAUUACAACACACACAGUCGAACAAUCUAGGACAAUUGUUAAAGACACCGAAAGCUCGUGUCUUAACUAGCAGUUGUUUUGCGUGUUACGAAGAAUGCAAAACAUUUUUACCGUUUUCUGUUUACGUUUUUAACGCAAAAUUUUAGUUACUUUUUAUUAUUAAAAAUUGGCAUUAAUUAAUAAAUUUAUAAAAUAAAUGGUAUUUUUUUUUGUUUGAAAAUAAUAUAUUUUUGUCUUCAAGUUCUUAUCGUUAAGAUAUAAUGAGUUUCGUAUUAUAGCU